rnacentral:rRNA from 1 species
GAUGAACGCUGGCGGCGUGCCUAAUACAUGCAAGUCGAGCGAACGGACGAGAAGCUUGCUUCUCUGAUGUUAGCGGCGGACGGGUGAGUAACACGUGGAUAACCUACCUAUAAGACUGGGAUAACUUCGGGAAACCGUAGCUAAUACCGGAUAAUAUUUUGAACCGCAUGGUUCAAAAGUGAAAGACGGUCUUGCUGUCACUUAUAGAUGGAUCCGCGCUGCAUUAGCUAGUUGGUAAGGUAACGGCUUACCAAGGCAACGAUGCAUAGCCGACCUGAGAGGGUGAUCGGCCACACUGGAACUGAGACACGGCCCAGACUCCUACGGGAGGCAGGAGUAGGGAAUCUGCCGGAAGGGGCGAAAGCCUGACGGGGAAACGCCGCGGGAGGGAUGAAGGUCUUUGGAUCGUAAAACUCUUUUAUUAGGGAAGAAAAUAUGUGUAAGUAACUGUGAAAAUCUUGACGGUACCAAAUCAAAAAGCCGCGGCUAACUACGG